rnacentral:lncRNA from 1 species
GCCACAUAAUCAAGGAAGGGACUUGACUGUAAAUCUUGAGGACCAGGAUUUGGUACUACAAACCCAAGGAUUAUUUUCAUUAUUUCAGCCGACAAAUGGAAGGAGCUGGAAUCAAACUCCAAUAUUAAAUAAAGCAACUGAAUAAAGUAAAGAAUACAUAAGUAGGAUAAUCACUUGUUUAGUUACAUACCACGACAUGUGAUUGAAUUUUAGCAAUGCAGGAAUAUGAAACUAGGC